AACGAACGCUGGCGGCAUGCCUAGCACAUGCAAGUCGAACGAGACCUUCGGGUCUAGUGGCGCUCGGGUGCGUAACGCGUGGGAACCUGCCCUUAGGUUCGGAAUAACUCCCCGAAAGGGGUGCUAAUACCGGAUAAUGUCUUCGGACCAAAGAUUUAUCGCCUUUGGAUGGGCCCGCGUUGGAUUAGCUAGUUGGUAGGGUAAAAGCCUACCAAGGCGACGAUCCAUAGCUGGUCUGAGAGGAUGAUCAGCCACACUGGGACUGAGACACGGCCCAGACUCCUACGGGAGGCAGCAGUGGGGAAUAUUGGACAAUGGGCGAAAGCCUGAUCCAGCAAUGCCGCGUGAGUGAUGAAGGCCUUAGGGUUGUAAAGCUCUUUUACCCGGGAUGAUAAUGACAGUACCGGGAGAAUAAGCUCCGGCUAACUCCGUG
rnacentral:rRNA from 1 species